rnacentral:rRNA from 1 species
GCAAGUCGAACGGAACUUUAGGAGCUUGCUCUUAAAGUUUAGUGGCGAACGGGUGAGGAAUAUAUAGGAAUCUACCUAACAGUAAGGAAUAACCUUGGGAAACCAAAGCUAAUGCCAUAUAUUACCGAUUUAUCGGGAAAGAUUUAUCGCUGUUAGAUGAGCCUGUAUCAGAUUAGCUUGUUGGUGGGGUAAAGGCCUACCAAGGCAAUGAUCUGUAGCUGGUCUGAGAGGAUGAUC